rnacentral:sRNA from 1 species
CUGACAGCCCCAGAGAAUGAAGUCCUCUAGUUAUCUACAGAAAAGAUACAAAACGAGCUCUGGCCAGCAGCGGUGGGCCUCAGUGAGCCUGACAUGGAGAGACUACCUGCCUCUCUUAGAAGUAGUCAUUCUCCAAGUGUCCUCAGUUGUUAUCCUGU